rnacentral:lncRNA from 1 species
UUCUGUUUUGUCAUAUCUUUGUAAUAUCAACUGUAACUGUUUCCAGCAAUCUCAGAUUUGUCAUGAAUUGUGGUUUCUAGACUUCAACAUGGUCUUUAACAACAACAUGGUUAAAUUGUAUAAUGUGUCUCUGUGGUUUAAGUUGAUACUGUAUUUGUCUGUCAUUUAAUUUUAGAAUUGCAAUAUCUAUAAGAGCCAGUUAUCCUGAAGAAAAAGAUUUAAUAAAAAUCAGCUUGUCUUUUCCACGCUCCGUGCUUGUCAGCAUCGACUGGAUAGAAUUUUUUCAAACACUUUUAAAAUCGGCCACGGAUAUACUACUGUUUCUUCUGCGUUCCUUCUCUGCACAGAAGUUGGAACUGAAUUUGAGUAGCCUGACAAAGGCCUGGGCUAAUUCAGUCCUCUACUUCACAUGGGACUAUCCCAGUCUAAGAGAAAUCAGCUUAGAAGCUGACAGUUUAUUGGAGGAAGCAGAAAGUGUCUUCAGGAAGUCACACCCAAGGCCUGGCUGCACACUGACUGUACAAGGGUUCAGAUGCAAUAAAUCAUCGAAGCAGUGCACAGACCAGCGGGUGAAGAUUCAUGUGAACAAGCAGGGCUUUUUUGUGCAGGCUUUGCGAAGGCCUUUGUUUCCAGACUGAUCUACAGACUAAUAACUAGAAGUGCACUGGAGGGAGACAGCUGGAUGAGGAUUCAUCAAAGUCUCUCUGGUUCUUUGGAUGACAUAACAUGUAUUUACUAGAGAAAACAGGUGAAGGGGUGGAUUUUUUCCAAAUGCAAGUGAUUUUAUUUUAUUUUGAUUUAUCUUUGAAUUAUUAAUGAUAUUAUUGAUGAUUACAUUAAUUUGAAUUAAUGUAUUGCUCAUAAUCCUUGCUCCUAAUUGUUCCGUUUUCUGUAUUGUAAAUUUUAUACAUUUAUUGCCUCAUUAUAUCGCGUCC